rnacentral:rRNA from 1 species
CCUACGGGAGGCAGCAGUGAGGAAUAUUGGUCAAUGGACGAGAGUCUGAACCAGCCAAGUAGCGUGAAGGAUGACUGCCCUAUGGGUUGUAAACUUCUUUUAUAUGGGAAUAAAAUGUUCCACGUGUGGGAUUUUGUAUGUACCAUAUGAAUAAGGAUCGGCUAACUCCGUGCCAGCAGCCGCGGUAAUACGGAGGAUCCGAGCGUUAUCCGGAUUUAUUGGGUUUAAAGGGAGCGUAGGUGGAUUGUUAAGUCAGUUGUGAAAGUUUGCGGCUCAACCGUAAAAGUGCAGUUGAAACUGGCAGUCUUGAGUACAGUAGAGGUGUGCGGAAUUCGUGGUGUAGCGGUGAAAUGCUUAGAUAUCACGAAGAACUCCGAUUGCGAAGGCAGUUCACUGGACUGCAACUGACACUGAGGCUCGAAAGUGUGGGUAUCAAACAGGAUUAGAUACCCUUGUAGUC